GUGCUUAACACAUGCAAGUCGAACGAUGAACCUGGAGCUUGCUCUUGGGGAUUAGUGGCGAACGGGUGAGUAACACGUGAGUAACCUGCCCUUGACUCUGGGAUAACCUCCGGAAACGGAAGCUAAUACCGGAUAUGACGCACGGAGGCAUCUCCUGUGCGUGGAAAGAACUUCGGUCAAGGAUGGACUCGCGGCCUAUCAGGUAGUUGGUGAGGUAACGGCUCACCAAGCCUACGACGGGUAGCCGGCCUGAGAGGGUGACCGGCCACACUGGGACUGAGACACGGCCCAGACUCCUACGGGAGGCAGCAGUGGGGAAUAUUGCACAAUGGGCGCAAGCCUGAUGCAGCAACGCCGCGUGAGGGAUGACGGCCUUCGGGUUGUAAACCUCUUUUAGUAGGGAAGAAGCGAAAGUGACGGUACCUGCAGAAAAAGCACCGGCUAACUACGUGCCAGCAGCCGCGGUAAUACGUAGGGUGCGAGCGUUGUCCGGAAUUAUUGGGCGUAAAGAGCUCGUAGGCGGUCUGUCGCGUCUGCUGUGAAAACCCGAGGCUCAACCUCGGGCCUGCAGUGGGUACGGGCAGACUAGAGUGCGGUAGGGGAGAAUGGAAUUCCUGGUGUAGCGGUGGAAUGCGCAGAUAUCAGGAGGAACACCGAUGGCGAAGGCAGUUCUCUGGGCCGUAACUGACGCUGAGGAGCGAAAGCGUGGGGAGCG
rnacentral:rRNA from 1 species